rnacentral:rRNA from 1 species
GGGUGAAGUAACGCGUGGGAAUCUACCGUACCCUACGGAAUAACGCAUGGAAACGUGUGCUAAUACCGUAUACGCCCUUCGGGGGAAAGAUUUAUCGGGGUAUGAUGAGCCCGCGUUGGAUUAGCUAGUUGGUGGGGUAAAGGCCUACCAAGGCGACGAUCCAUAGCUGGUCUGAGAGGAUGAUCAGCCACAUUGGGACUGAGACACGGCCCAAACUCCUACGGGAGGCAGCAGUGGGGAAUAUUGGACAAUGGGCGCAAGCCUGAUCCAGCCAUGCCGCGUGAGUGAUGAAGGUCUUAGGAUUGUAAAGCUCUUUCACCGAUGAAGAUAAUGACGGUAUCCGGAGAAGAAGCCCCGGCUAACUUCGUGCC